rnacentral:rRNA from 1 species
GACGAACGCUGGCGGCGUGCCUAAUACAUGCAAGUCGAACGAACAGUCGAGGAGCUUGCUCUUCUGGGGUGAGAAGCGGACGGGUGAGUAACUCGUGGUUAACCUACCUCUACGACAGGGAUAACUACAGGAAACAAUAGCUAAUGACGGAUAAUAUAUUGAACCUGAUGGUUCCAUCGUGAAAGAGGCUAUUGCUGAGCUUAAAAGAUGACUACGCGCUGCAUUAGUAAUUGGGUAGGGAAACGGCUUACCAAGGCAACGAUGCGAACACGACCUGAGCGGGUGGUCGGCCACACUGGAACUGAGACACGGCCAAGCGGCCUAGGGGAGGCAGCAGAAGGGAAUCUUGGGCAAUGGGGGAAAGCCUGACGGAGAACGGCCGCGUGGGUGAUAAAGGUCUUCGGAUGGUAAACCUCUGUGAUUGGGGAAAAACACAUGUGGAAGUAAAUAUGCACGUCUUGACGGUACCUUACCAGAAAGCCACGGCUAACUACGUG